GAUGAACGCUGGCGGCGUGCCUAAUACAUGCAAGUCGAGCGAACAGACGAGGAGCUUGCUCCUCUGACGUUAGCGGCGGACGGGUGAGUAACACGUGGAUAACCUACCUAUAAGACUGGGAUAACUUCGGGAAACCGGAGCUAAUACCGGAUAAUAUAUUGAACCGCAUGGUUCAAUAGUGAAAGACGGUUUUGCUGUCACUUAUAGAUGGAUCCGCGCCGCAUUAGCUAGUUGGUAAGGUAACGGCUUACCAAGGCAACGAUGCGUAGCCGACCUGAGAGGGUGAUCGGCCACACUGGAACUGAGACACGGUCCAGACUCCUACGGGAGGCAGCAGUAGGGAAUCUUCCGCAAUGGGCGAAAGCCUGACGGAGCAACGCCGCGUGAGUGAUGAAGGUCUGCGGAUCGUAAAAUUCUGUUAUUAGGGAAGAACAAAUGUGUAAGUAACUAUGCACGUCUUGACGGUACCUAAUCAGAAAGCCACGGAUAACUACGU
rnacentral:rRNA from 1 species